CGCCGCGUGGAGGAAGAAGGUUUUCGGAUUGUAAACUCCUGUCGUUAGGGACGAUAAUGACGGUACCUAACAAGAAAGCACCGGCUAACUACGUGCCAGCAGCCGCGGUAAAACGUAGGGUGCAAGCGUUGUCCGGAAUUACUGGGUGUAAAGGGAGCGCAGGCGGACCGGCAAGUUGGAAGUGUAAACCAUGGGCUCAACCCAUGAAUUGCUUUCAAAACUGCUGGCCUUGAGUAGUGCAGAGGUAGGUGGAAUUCCCGGUGUAGCGGUGGAAUGCGUAGAUAUCGGGAGGAACACCAGUGGCGAAGGCGACCUACUGGGCACCAACUGACGCUGAGGCUCGAAAGCAUGGGUAGCAAACAGGAUUAGAUACCCUGGUAGUCCAUGCCGUAAACGAUGAUUACUAGGUGUUGGAGGAUUGACCCCUUCAGUGCCGCAGUUAACACAAUAAGUAAUCCACCUGGGGAGUACGACCGCAAGGUUGAAACUCAAAGGAAUUGACGGGGGCCCGCACAAGCAGUGGAGUAUGUGGUUUAAUUCGAAGCAACGCGAAGAACCUUACCAGGUCUUGACAUCCGAUGCAUAGCACAGAGAUGUGUGAAAUCCUUCGGGACAUCGAGACAGGUGGUGCAUGGUUGUCGUCAGCUCGUGUCGUGAGAUGUUGGGUUAAGUCCCGCAACGAGCGCAACCCUUAUUGCCAGUUACUACGCAAGAGGACUCUGGCGAGACUGCCGUUGACAAAACGGAGGAAGGUGGGGAUGACGUCAAAUCAUCAUGCCCUUUAUGACCUGGGCUACACACGUACUACAAUGGCGUUUAACAAAGAGAAGCAAGACCGCGAGGUGGAGCAAAACUCAGAAACAACGUCUCAGUUCAGAUUGCAGGCUGCAACUCGCCUGCAUGAAGCUGGAGUUGCUAGUAAU
rnacentral:rRNA from 1 species